AGAUGUUAAAAGCAAGAGACAUGGGAGAGCAUCAUUCCUUUGAGAUUUUAUAAAUCAAACCAAGUUUGGAGUUGUCUUGUAUGAUUUGGAGAGUCAUUAUUCUUGGUCUUCGCUCUUAGAGGCCACUGAUGAAGAACAGGUGGUAACUGGGAUGAAUACUGGUCAGAGAGGAGAAUCUUCUUUCCCCUAAACUGAUGCAGCGGUGGUUUUAAAGGAGGACGCUGCCCUGGAUGAUGUAGAAGAUGUCACAUGCUGUGCAGAUGGAGUUUCUUCAUGACUACAUCAGUUAUGCUAAAGAGAUCAUGAAAAUUGACCGUGAUGCAUGAUCUGUAUUCAUGGACUAUGAAACAAACUGUAAGUGUAUAAUUUGUUAAAAAAAAAGCUUUUUCUGUGUUGUUUAGUAGAAGAGUUUACACUCUGUCAUUCAUACACCUGCUCACAUUCUUUCACACACACACACACACACACACGUCUGUUAAAUGUUAUAAUAUCAAAGUUAAUGUUGUGAUUUAUUUGUGUACUGUCAUGCCAGAAUAGUUGGAAAAAAACCUAACUAAUUGUAAAUUUAUUGUAUGUGUUUUCGUAUAUUUUUAUACAAUAUAUACAAUUGAACAAAUUCCAAUUUGAUCUUAAGUUAUAUUCAUCAAAUGUUCAAUGCUUUGUUUAUGAACUCUGUAGCUGUUAAUGCCAUCCUUUUCUGCAUUUCU